UACGUAGGGUGCAAGCGUUAAUCGGAAUUACUGGGCGUAAAGUGUGCGCAGGCGGCAGAGCAAGUCGAGUGUGAAAGCCCCGGGCUUAACUUGGGAAUUGCGCUCGAAACUACUUUGCUGGAGUGUGGCAGAGGAAGGUGGAAUUCCACGUGUAGCGGUGAAAUGCGUAGAUAUCGGGAGGAAUACCGAUGGCGAAGGCAGGUCUCUGGGCUGACACUGACGCUCGAUGCACGAAAGCG
rnacentral:rRNA from 1 species